GAUGAACGCUGGCGGCGUGCCUAAUACAUGCAAGUCGAGCGAACAGACGAGGCGCUUGCUCCUCUGACGUUAGCGGCGGACGGGUGAGUAACACGUGGCUAACCUACCUAUCAGACUGGGAUAACUUCGGGAAACCGGAGCUCAUACCGGAUAAUAUAUUGAACCGCAUGGUUCAAUAGUGAAAGACGGUUUUGCUGUCACUUAUAGAUGGAUCCGCGCCGCAUUAGCUAGUUGGUAAGGUAACGGCUUACCAAGGCAACGAUGCGUAGCCGACCUGAGAGGGUGAUCGGCCACACUGGAACUGAGACACGGUCCAGACUCCUACGGGAGGCAGCAGUAGGGAAUCUUCCGCAAUGGGCGAAAGCCUGACGGAGCAACGCCGCGUGAGUGAUGAAGGUCUUCGGAUCGUAAAACUCUGUUAUUAGGGAAGAACAAAUGUGUAAGUAACUAUGCACGUCUUGACGGUACCUAAUCAGAAAGCCACGGCUAACUACGUG
rnacentral:rRNA from 1 species